AUCAGCAUGCACUCGUGAAACUACUGCAGAGCUAAUUGCUCUCCAGUCUACACUCUGAGUAUGAAUGCCCAGGCACAACAUCUCAUGCCUCAAAGCCUAAGUAAGAAAGUGCAGGAAUAAGAACCCAAGGGGGACUGGAAACUCCAGGGAUGACUGCAAAAGGGGAAAGUUUUUGCUACAAAGGAAGAAAUUGCCAUGGCUUUGGUCUCCAGUAGCUUUGAAAAAAAACUGAUUCAGUCACAAGCCAAAUGAGGAGCAGGGAAAUGAUUAGGGGCUUAUUUUUAUUUGAAAAUUCAACAUUUACGCAGUGAACUCAAGUGUAACAAAGAAGAAGAUGUAAUUAGAAUUUCACAGUAAAUUUUGAUUAUAGAUUUACUGAUGGAAAACAAUGUUGAUAUGCUGCACUGAAGUGUGGGCUCAAGUGAAGAGGUACAUUACAGCAGAUAAUUUAUUCUCAGUAGUGGAAGCACUUCUGCUCUGGAAUGCCAGUAUGCAAUUGGCAGCUGCCCUGUAGGACUCCAGCCUGUGCUAUUGGUGAUACAGAAGAGCUUUAUGAAGCUCUGCAACAGAGCUUCCACAUGAAAUGAGAGAACUGGAACAAGAGAAAGAAUCCUGAAUUAAUUUCUCCAAUCCCUACAAUAGGAGGCACAGGAUGGUCGGGAAGUACUGGCUACAGGGCUGUUUUUCCUUUGAUAACAGUAGCACUAAAAUAUAUUUGCUUAUGCUAAAGGAGUGUUUUCACUCUGUCCUUCUUGUGUCAGCUUCCAAAUCAGUUAAACAAGCAUUGGUCUUAAAGCAUCAGUAAUUGGGUAUGUAGUUUUUACUACUGUAUGUCUUAACAAGUUCAUCAAAUACUGAGAACAGUUAAGCUGGCAAGAGCCAAAGGCUUGUUACAAGAUUACUCCUUAAGUAAGAAGCUUUCAGAGUCAGAAGGUUCUUGUAUUUAGUGCUAUCAUGCAGCACAGAUAAUGGGGAGUUGUAGUAUUUAUUUGGUUAUCAGUCUUACAGAAAGUGUUGAAAACUACCAAACUUGUGACUUAACUGUCUUUUAAUUUAGUAUUUCUGCAAGUUCUGUAUUUCAGUAAUUAAUUAAAUGCUGGAACUUCCUAGAUGUUUAGUGUCAUGAGAAGAGUUUAACUUAAGCUGAGGUAUUGCAUUGCUAUAGCUUUCCCCUUCCAGUAAAACCUAUCAGGUCACACAUCAAAGAAGAAAAUUAAAUCUUUGAACCAUAGAAUAAGUUGCAAAGGACCUCCAGAGGUCAUUUAAUCCAGCCUCCUGUUCCAAAAGGAUAAGGUUGCUCGUGAUGAUUUGCAGUCAAAUUCUGCAUAUCCUUAAGGAUGGAGAUUCUACAGCCUUUUAGAGUCUCUGUUUGAAUAUUCUCGUGGUAGAAUAGCUUUUUUUUUUUUCUUACAACUUUUUCCCCCAUGUUCCCAUGUUGUAUCUUAAGUUCAUUCCUUUGUGUUCUAGUGCCUCUUGGCAAAGAAUCAUUCAUUUUGUACUGAUAUAAUACCCUCAAGGUCCUUAUAGACAAAUCGUUUGAUAAUUUGGUUUUGUAUCUUUCUGAGGACUAAAUUUAUGAAGUUCAUUUUUUAAUAAGUGAAAUCAGUUAUGCAUAAUUUUUAUUACAGAGAACUUCUUGUCCAUGUAUGUCUAUUAUUAGUCAAGUUCUGAAAAAUUACACCUCUGCCAUAGCUGUUAUACUAGUUAUCCCAAAUUUAUAAUUUACAGCAGAACAGAGGUAAAUUGCCUGCCAUGGUAAGUAUUAGUUUCAUUCAUAUUGUAUCAAUUCUCACAUAAUUUUUUUCAAAUAUUUUCAUUUUUUAAAUUGUUGUGCUUCUAUAAGCAAGGAAGGUCAGCCACAUAAAUAAUCAGUGUGAGAGAGGUUUAGGUAAGAAUCCUAGAAGUAUGUUUUAUAUAUUUUGUAU